CCUGGGGAUGGAGAUGCCUGAGCUGCUAAGCAAGUUGUCCAACUGUGGAUCUAUUUUCCAUACUUAAAGGUAAAUGAGGUUGGCAUCUGAUGGUCUUUCUGAGAACAAUCAGUCCUGAUGGUUCACUUGGGUUGCAGCAUUCUUCUGACAGCCUCUUCUCAGCAUCAGAAGUGUAGAGUUUUUAUUUUCCUCUUUCCUCAAACCAAGCAUCAAAUCCCACAUCUGACAUUGCUGAUUUAAAUUGUCAUGGAAGAAAGAGUUUUAUUUUGGAGCAACCUGAUUAUAUUGCACAAUAUCUUAACAGUUAAGUGUUAAUACAGAAAAUGGGGCCAUUUUAUGAAAGACAACUGGAAAAUGAAAAGCGAAAAGGAAUGAACAUAUUGCUAUGGAAUAGGUGUGCUAUUAAAUAUUGAAAGUGGCCGCAGAAUGAUCUCUUCCCAACAACGAACAUAAAUGUGCUGGACUCCAGCGGGGUUUUCAUCCAGGAGUAGAGGAAACUAUAUUCAAUACGCAUUAAGAUAUUCGGUAACUGAUGAAAAAUAGAUUGACCCAUAGCAUAUAAAACUCAGUGCUUCAACAGAUAUUGAAUGAAAAGGUAAAUAGGUAGAUUGAGUGAUUAUGAAUUUGUAUUGCUUGCCCAUAUUUUCUUUUCAAUGUAAGAAUAAAGAAACAACUGAUUUUUAC